ACGCACUGAAAAAGAACCUGAAGAGCUUCAGAGGGUUGAGACAGUGAGGCAGAUUGAACAGGAACAUUCACAACUUCAAGAGGUGAUUUUAAACACAAUCUCCAGAGACAAAGAGGAAGAGGAGGCAGAGGACAGUAAGACAGAGAGUCCUGUCUGACUGGCUCUAUAUGGAGGGGUCAAUCCUUAUCUCUAUAGCCAGUUCAGCUUCCACAUCAGAGAGCAGAAAAUCAACCACAUCACCUUGCUAAAGAUCAAUGUUGAGAAAUACCUCACCACAGAGCAGAAAGAAAAAGAAGAAAGGCUAAGAGAGGAAGAUAAACGGCCAAGCCUUCAAGCCAAGGUAUAAUAUUACUGUACCCCACAACAGGUGUGCUUUUAACAGUUAAUUAACUACUUAUUUUCACAUCAUAACCCUUGUUUAUCACAACAGUUUACUUUUAUAAAAAUGUAAUAUUCUGUUCAUCCAUGGUUUCAACAAUAAAGCAGCACAACUGUUUUCAACAUUAAAAAUAAGAAGAAAUGUUUCAUGAGCACCCAAAUCAGCAUAUUAGAAUGAUUUCUGAAGGAGA
rnacentral:lncRNA from 1 species